rnacentral:misc_RNA from 1 species
AAUCUGGCAUCAAGGAAUGGUCCGUAAGGCUGGGACCGGUCCGCGUCCGGAAGGCAAGUCUGAUGGGCCAUCGGGACUGUCCGGUUCAGGNNNNNNNNGUUGGCGAGCCGAUGACCGACGCGGAUAUCGCAGACACCAUCGAAGCGUUUGCGAAAGCCGCGGGCGCCGCCAAGGAGAUCGGCUUCGAUGCCGUCGAACUUNGCGCACGGCUAUCUGGUGGACCAGUUCUUCUGGGAGCAGUCGAACCGGCGCGACGACGCUUACGGCGGGGGGCUCGUCCAGCGGACUCGUUUUUUCGCCCCCAUCCAUAAAGGCAUCCCCCCCCGUGGGGGGNUUAUUCACCGGUUUUCGCAGUGGAAGCAGCAGGACUACGGUGCGAAGCUGGCUCACUCGCCCGACGAACUCGCCGCGUUCCUCCAGCCGCUGGUCGACGCAGGCGCCG